UACGGGGGGGGCAAGCGUUGCUCGGAAUUACUGGGCGUAAAGGGCUCGUAGGCGGCCAACUAAGUCGGAUGUGAAAUCCCCAGGCUUAACCUGGGAACUGCAUCCGAUACUGGAUGGCUUGAAUUCGGGAGAGGGAUGCAGAAUUCCAGGUGUAGCGGUGAAAUGCGUAGAUAUCUGGAGGAAUACCGGUGGCGAAGGCGGCAUCCUGGACCGAGAUUGACGCUGAUGAGCGAAAGCUAGGGGAGCAAACGGG
rnacentral:rRNA from 1 species